rnacentral:rRNA from 1 species
UGGGGAAUUUUGGACAAUGGGCGAAAGCCUGAUCCAGCAAUGCCGCGUGUGUGAAGAAGGCCUUCGGGUUGUAAAGCACUUUUGUCCGGAAAGAAAUCCUUGGCUCUAAUACAGUCGGGGGAUGACGGUACCGGAAGAAUAAGCACCGGCUAACUACGUGCCAGCAGCCGCGGUAAUACGUAGGGUGCAAGCGUUAAUCGGAAUUACUGGGCGUAAAGCGUGCGCAGGCGGUUUGCUAAGACCGAUGUGAAAUCCCCGGGCGUCAACCUGGGAACUGCAUUGGUGACUGGCAGGCUAGAGUAUGGCAGAGGGGGGUAGAAUUCCACGUGUAGCAGUGAAAUACGUAGAGAUGUGGAGGAAUACCGAUGGCGAAGGCAGCCCCCUGGCCAAGUACUGACGCUCAUGCACGAAAGCGUGGGGAGCAAACNGGAUUAAUACCCUGGUAGUCCACGCCCUAAAACGAUGUCAACUAGUUGUUGGGGAUUCAUUUCCUUAGUAACGUAGCUAACGCGUGAAGUUGACCGCCUGGGGAGUACGGUCGCAAGAUUAAAACUCAAAGAAUUGACGGGGUCAGCUGUUUCCU